UAGAGACGCGGUGAAGUGAAAGCGCAUCGUGGCUUUUAAAAUGCAAAUGUAAACAGCAACCCAGACAGCAAUUUACACUCUUGACAUAGCUUCAACAUAUGCCAACAGUGAUGUUCGGCGUGGUGCAGUGGUAAGAUGCUUGCCUCGGAACCUUCAGGUCCAAAGUUCGAAUCCUAGGCAAAAAACACUUUUUUUUCUACUUUUAUUUUUUUAUUUUAUUUCGUUUUAAUAAUUUUAAAUAACCUUAAAAUGACCUCUGUCAAUUUUUAAUCAAAUAUUGAUCAGGAACUACAGAAUUUUCGACUACAGGGCGUCACACUACAGAGAACAGAACGACAGUCACAACGUCCCAAAAUACGACAGACUGAAAAUUUGCUGUUGUGUUUUUCAAGUGGGUGAGACGUCUAUACGGCGUAUACGCAGAUUGCUGUCCUCUCUAUUAAAAGCAACGUUGCUGAAACACGUCGUACAAGACGCUGUACGACUCGCAUAAAAUCGAAAUACAACGCCGUCACCAUCCAUGAGAUCACCGAAAGCACGGUCGCUUUCGGUGGCGGCCUACAGAUGGCAGCACAGGUAGCGCCGGUAAAGUUACAGGUGAUAUUAUUUUGCCGUCCUCAGUUGUCGCCACAUGUGAGUGCUUGCUGCAUUGACGCCGUCCGAUGUAGUUGUUUAAUCGUGUGUACGCUGUGCCGAGAGAAAUUGUGGUGCAUUUUGUAUGCAUUGAGAAUCACAAAACCCCUGGGACCGCGUAAUGUAGCCCGCAGUAUCCUUCCUGUGGUGCGCCGAUGUCGAAGAUAUGACCCUUCGCGCUUCCUUUGUUCCGGGCUCAUGAACAGGAUCUCCUCCUCUGGCACUGUCGCAUCGUAUCGCGCUGUACGGAAGAAUUUGGUGAAAGUUGUGCUCUUACGUCCUGUAGUUGAUCCGCAAUUCAACAGUGUGUGCGCCGGAAGGACCGUUGGUGCAGUCGAUGCCGCGGCACCUGUGACGCUAAAAGGAGCGUUUUCCGAGUACGCCUAGAAAGGGAUGGCAAGAUUUUGUGAACCAGAGGCACCUCCACAUAUGCACCUGCGGCAUUUCUGCAGCCUCAACAGCACGGAAAAGUACCUGAUGUGCAUGCUGUGACAAGCUGCUGUAGGUAUGGCUGGACCUGGAGAAGAAGUGUAAGCAGACCAUGCUAUGUUGCUGAUCUGCGCUGAUCUCCACAUCCAAGUUGGUCCCGCGACAGUUGGGCACCAUUGUGCCUUGCUUCAUUGACAAGGUGAUAUAAUAUGGUGCCCUGCUCGCUCUCACCCAAGCAACCCACUCCAGCGGUCUUCUCUUGGCAGACUGGAUGCAUCGAAAUACCGUUAGAAGGUCCAAUAAACAGUGCUUGGGACAUUUAUGACAUGCUUUUUUUUAAGCCGGAUGACUUCAGGCUUAAUGAAAGCUCAAGUUGGUGUACAGAAAUACCUA